rnacentral:rRNA from 1 species
AUUGAACGCUGGCGGCAGGCCUAACACAUGCAAGUCGAACGAGUGGCGGACGGGUGAGUAAUGUCUGGGAAACUGCCUGAUGGAGGGGGAUAACUACUGGAAACGGUAGCUAAUACCGCAUACCAUCGGAUGUGCCCAGAUGGGAUUAGCUUGUAGGGGGGGUAAAGGGUCCCCUCGGCGACGAUCCAUAUCUGGUCUGAGAGGAUUACCAGCAACACUGGACCUGAGACACGGUCCAGACUCCUACGGGAGCCAGCAGUGGGGAAUAUUGAACAAUGUGCGCAAGCCUGAUGCAGCCAUGCCGCGUGUAUGAAGAAGGCCUUCGGGUUGUAAAGUACUGUCAGCGAGCAGGCGUUACCCGCAGAAGAAGCACCGGCUAACUCCGUGCCAGCAGCCGCGGUAAUUC